rnacentral:rRNA from 1 species
GGGCCCGCACAAGCGGUGGAGUAUGUGGUUUAAUUCGAUGCAACGCGAAGAACCUUACCAGGGUUUGACAUCCUGCGAAUCUCUUGGAAACAGGAGAGUGCCUUCGGGAACGCAGUGACAGGUGGUGCAUGGCUGUCGUCAGCUCGUGUCGUGAGAUGUUGGGUUAAGUCCCGCAACGAGCGCAACCCACGUCUUUAGUUGCCAGCAUUUAGUUGGGCACUCUAGAGAGACUGCCGGUGAUAAACCGGAGGAAGGUGUGGAUGACGUCAAGUCAUCAUGCCCCUUACAUCCUGGGCUACACACGUACUACAAUGCUACGGACAAAGGGCAGCAAACUCGCGAGAGCUAGCAAAUCCCAUAAACCGUGGCUCAGUUCAGAUCGUAGGCUGCAACUCGCCUACGUGAAGGCGGAAUCGCUAGUAAUCAGAUAU